rnacentral:tRNA from 1 species
GUUGUAGUUCAGUGGUAGAACUCCUGACUAGCACGUGUGAGGCCUUGGGUUCUAUCCUCAGCAUCACA